rnacentral:rRNA from 1 species
AGUGAACGCUGGCGGUAGGCCUAACACAUGCAAGUCGAACGGCAGCACAGUAAGAGCUUGCUCUUACGGGUGGCGAGUGGCGGACGGGUGAGGAAUACAUCGGAAUCUACUUUUUCGUGGGGGAUAAUGUAGGGAAACUUACGCUAAUACCGCAUACGACCUACGGGUGAAAGCAGGGGAUCUUCGGACCUUGCGCGAUUGAAUGAGCCGAUGUCGGAUUAGCUAGUUGGCGGGGUAAAGGCCCACCAAGGCGACGAUCCGUAGCUGGUCUGAGAGGAUGAUCAGCCACACUGGAACUGGGACACGGUCCAGACUCCUACGGGAGGCGGCAGUGGGGAAUAUUGGACAAUGGGCGCAAGCCUGAUCCAGCCAUACCGCGUGGGUGAAGAAGGCCUUCGGGUUGGAAAGCCCUUUUGUUGGGAAAGAAAAGCAGCAGGUUAAUACCCCGCUGUUCUGACGGUACCCAAAGAAUAAGCACCGGCUAACUUCGUG